CAUCGAUGAGGGGUGCAGAAGUGGAGAGGAAAGAAGCUUUAUUUUCAUUCUUUUGUCCUUCAGUCGGCAGACACGCUCUCCCUAUUUAAAAGUCAAAAAGCAUAAAGUUAGAACCCCCCUCCCAUACGCUGAUAUGUAUCAUAAAGGCACGUAUAACGUACAUAAAUACUACAUUUAUAAUAGGAGGUCUAUUUUUUUAUGUCAUUUUUUGCUCACAUCAGCUGUAAAAGUGAUAUUUUCAUGUUUUGUUCACAACGAAAAUCCUUCAAGCUGUUUGCACAAAUGCUAAGCAGGGUUCAGUUCUGCAUGCUUGUACCCAGAAAUUAUCCAAACCGUAAUAACGAUGUAGGAUUAAACCCCUAAUAAUCAAGGUAUGCAUUAUGAAGUGUUGGCAGACCCCCUUUCUGUAUCAAUUGACGAUGCAGUGUUCCCUUCCUGUCACACCAAUCUCCCGACAAUCAAAGCAAAGCCGCAAGCAGGACCAAAUCCUUCACUUCUCAUUUUAGUGUUUUUUCCAUCAAAGCCUACCCUGUGUUUGCACUCCCACAAAAAGGAAGUCGGAAGAAGCAGAAGCUGAGAAGCUGGUCUAUGGUCAUGGCGGGGCCGCGUUUAUGAGCAAGAGGGGAAGUGGGGCCCUGACCAGCACACAGCUGCAGAUAUCUGCUGGAAAAGAAGGCGCCAUAAAGACAGCUUUUAAAAUAAAAUAUGGGAGAGGUUGUGUAGGAGAAAAAAUUCAUUUAAUCCAACGUCUGCAUGUGUCAGCUAUUA